rnacentral:rRNA from 1 species
CCUAAGUGGGUGGUAAACUCCAUCUAAGGCUAAAUAUGACCACGAGACCGAUAGCACACAAGUACCGUGAGGGAAAGGUGAAAAGAACUUUGAAGAGAGAGUUCAAGAGUACGUGAAACUGCGGUGGUGUAAACGGACGAGAUCGAAAAGUCCGAAUGGGGACAUUCAUGCCUACCGUUCUGGCGGCCUUUUGGGUUCAGAUGGUGCGGACGGCUCGGGCCUCUCGGGGCGCCGGGUUUUUUUCGCUAUCACUCGUCCCAGUUGGCAUCUGCUGGGGCGGUGGGCUGCAUUUGUCCCCUAGUAGGACGUCGCGACCCGUUGGGAUGGUCCGAUCUGAAGGCCUGGGGUGGAGCCCGCGCCCGAGCGUCGCUUCGGUGGCGUUGCGGUGCACGGACCCCCGGUGACCUGGUCGGCGCUCGACGGUAUCAAAGCAUUGGGAAGGCACCGUACAGAGGUUACGUCCGAUGCCUGUAGCAGGCUACACUCGGACAGGUGCGCACCCGGUCAGCGGCGCUACUGCUUUCGAUACUCGUCCGA